AGUAACACGGUGGGUGAUCUGCCCUGCACUUCGGGAUAAGCUUGGGAAACUGGGUCUAAUACCGGAUAGGAACCAUCUUUAGUGUGGUGGUUGGAAAGUUUUUUCGGUGUAGGAUGAGCUCGCGGCCUAUCAGCUUGUUGGUGGGGUAAUGGCCUACCAAGGCGGCGACGGGUAGCCGGCCUGAGAGGGUGUACGGCCACAUUGGGACUGAGAUACGGCCCAG
rnacentral:rRNA from 1 species